GACGAACGCUGGCGGCGUGCCUAAUACAUGCAAGUAGAACGCUGAAGGAGGAGCUUGCUUCUCUGGAUGAGUUGCGAACGGGUGAGUAACGCGUAGGUAACCUGCCUGGUAGCGGGGGAUAACUAUUGGAAACGAUAGCUAAUACCGCAUAAGAGUAGAUGUUGCAUGACAUUUGCUUAAAAGGUGCAAUUGCAUCACUACCAGAUGGACCUGCGUUGUAUUAGCUAGUUGGUGAGGUAACGGCUCGCCAAGGCAACGAUACAUAGCCGACCUGAGAGGGUGAUCGGCCACACUGGGACUGAGACACGGCCCAGACUCCUACGGGAGGCAGCAGUAGGGAAUCUUCGGCAAUGGACGGAAGUCUGACCGAGCAACGCCGCGUGAGUGAAGAAGGUUUUCGGAUCGUAAAGCUCUGUUGUAAGAGAAGAACGAGUGUGAGAGUGGAAAGUUCACACUGUGACGGUAUCUUACCAGAAAGGGACGGCUAACUACGU
rnacentral:rRNA from 1 species